ACCCUGUUUUAGAGGCAAUCUGCAGCGUGUGCAAAGACUGGGUGUGCCGAAAUGGCAUGGCAUCAUGUGCACUGUUUUCAGGUGACUUAAG
rnacentral:lncRNA from 1 species